rnacentral:rRNA from 1 species
GACGAACGCUGGCGGCGUGCUUAACACAUGCAAGUCGAACGGAAAGGCCCUGCUUUUGUGGGGUGCUCGAGUGGCGAACGGGUGAGUAACACGUGAGUAACCUGCCCUUGACUUUGGGAUAACUUCAGGAAACUGGGGCUAAUACCGGAUAGGAGCUCCUGUAGCAUGGUGGGGGUUGGAAAGUUUCGGCGGUUGGGGAUGGACGCGCGGCUUAUGGGCUGGUUGGUGGGGUAGGGGGCGACCAAGGGGAGGAGGGGUAGCCGGCGGGAGAGGGGGACCGGCGGCAGGGGAGCGGAGACACGGACCAGGGGCCUAAGGGAGGCAGCAGUGGGGAAUAUUGGACAAUGGGCGCAAGCCUGAUCCAGCCAUACCGCGUGGGUGAAGAAGGCCUUGGGGUUGUAAAGCCGUUUUGUUGGGAAAGAAAAGCAGCAGGUUAAUACCCCGCGGUUCUGACGGUACCCAAAGAAUAAGCACCGGCUAACUUCGUG